rnacentral:rRNA from 1 species
AGCGAACGCUGGCGGCAGGCCUAACACAUGCAAGUCGAACGCCGUAGCAAUACGGAGUGGCAGACGGGUGAGUAACACGUGGGAACGUACCCUUCGGUUCGGAAUAACUCAGGGAAACUUGAGCUAAUACCGGAUACGUCCGAGAGGAGAAAGAUUUAUCGCCGAGGGAUCGGCCCGCGUCUGAUUAGCUUGUUGGUGAGGUAACGGCUCACCAAGGCGACGAUCAGUAGCUGGCUGAGAGGAUGAUCAGCCACAUUGGGACUGAGACACGGCCCAAACUCCUACGGGAGGCAGCAGUGGGGAAUAUUGGACAAUGGGCGCAAGCCUGAUCCAGCCAUGCCGCGUGAGUGAUGAAGGCCCUAGGGUUGUAAAGCUC